rnacentral:rRNA from 1 species
AGCAGUAGCCGCGGGAAUACGUAGGUGGCAAGCGUUGUCCGGAAUUACUGGGCGUAAAGCGCGCGCAGGUGGUUUAAUAAGUCUGAUGUGAAAGCCCACGGCUCAACCGUGGAGGGUCAUUGGAAACUGUUAAACUUGAGUGCAGGAGAGAAAAGUGGAAUUCCUAGUGUAGCGGUGAAAUGCGUAGAGAUUAGGAGGAACACCAGUGGCGAAGGCGGCUUUUUGGCCUGUAACUGACACUGAGGCGCGAAAGCGUGGGGAGCAAACAGGAUUAGAUACCCCGGUAGUCCCUGUCUCUUAUAC